CCCUUAGAGUUUGAUCCUGGCUCAGAUUGCCCCGCUGGCGGCAGGCCUAACACAUGCAAGUCGAGCGGUAACAGAUUGAUAGCUUGCUAUCAAUGCUGACGAGCGGCGGACGGGUGAGUAAUGCCUGGGAAUAUGCCCUGAUGUGGGGGAUAACUAUUGGAAACGAUAGCUAAUACCGCAUAACCUCUUCGGAGCAAAGAGGGGGACCUUCGGGCCUCUCGCGUCAGGAUUAGCCCAGGUGGGAUUAGCUUGUUGGUGGGGUAAUGGCUCACCAAGGCAACGAUCCCUAGCUGGUCUGAGAGGAUGAUCAGCCACACUGGAACUGAGACACGGUCCAGACUCCUACGGGAGGCAGCAGUGGGGAAUAUUGCACAAUGGGGGAAACCCUGAUGCAGCCAUGCCGCGUGUAUGAAGAAGGCCUUCGGGUUGUAAAGUACUUUCAGUUGUGAGGAAGGCAGUAAAGUUAAUAGCUUUGCUGUUUGACGUUAGCAACAGAAGAAGCACCGG
rnacentral:rRNA from 1 species